CUGGAUUUCUACAGAUUAAGUAAUUUUACUUUUAUAAUAAAAUAUGUACAAAAAGCCUUUGUCUUGGUGUAAACCAGCAAUGUCAAACCUUUCAACCACUUCUACAAGAUGUGCUAAAUGUGAAAAAAAAUGUAUCCCACGAGCCACACUUAAUCUGCCUUUCGAUCCAAAAUUGGUUUCACCCUGCACAGAAACACAUUUCUCUACCAGGGUUUCACUCUAAUGCUUUGUUCUCAACAAAGAGUUGAAAAUGUCAGUUUGACAUGCCUUCCCCUUCACUCUGGAAGUCUCUUUAAAGGUUAGUCAUCAUGGAUUUGAUACAGCGUCCCUGAGUAGGAAGGAGGGAGGUCUCUGAGCUUUUAUACAGAUUCCUUGCAGCUGCAAUAGCAGCCAAUAGUAUCCUGCACUCUACUGGUGUUUGGUACAACUGUACUUGAUGUAUGUGGGUACUAUACCUCAAAACAUAUUUUUAUAUUGUGGUUCAGUUUGUAAGGAACUGCAACCCCAUGAUUGAAUUCAAAAUAUCCAUAAACAGGGUAUUAGGCCAUUUUCAUUGAUCUAUUUUGUCUCACCUACUGUAUUUAACAAAAAUAGUGUUUCUGCUUUUAUGG